UAACCUGCGGCAUGCUUACACAUGCAGUCGAACGUGAAAGCCUUCGGUGUGAGUAGAGUGGCGGACGGGUGAGUACGCGUGGGAAUCUACCCAGUAGUGGGGGACAACUACCGGAAACGGUAGCUAAUACCGCAUACGCCCUAUGGGGGAAAGGCUUCGGCCGCUAUUGGAUGAGCCCGCGUCAGAUUAGCUAGUUGGUAGGGUAAAGGCCUACCAAGGCAACGAUCUGUAGCUGGUCUGAGAGGACGAACAGCCACACUGGGACUGAGACACGGCCCAGACUCCUACGGGAGGCAGCAGUGGGGAAUAUUGGACAAUGGGCGAAAGCCUGAUCCAGCAAUGCCGCGUGUGUGAAGAAGGCCUGCGGGUUGUAAAGCACUUUCAGUUGGGAAGAUGAUGACGUUACCAACAGAAGAAGCACCGGCUAAAUCCGUGCCAGCAGCCGCGGUAAUACGGAUGGUGCGAGCGUCAAUCGGAAUUACUGGGCGUAAAGCGCGCGUAGGCGGCUAAGUCAGUCAGAAGUGAAAGCCCCGGGCUCAACCUGCGAAUAGCUUCUGAUACUGCUUAGCUAGAGUAUGGUAGAGGAUAGUGGAAUUCCAGGUGUAGCGGAGAAAUGCGUAGAUAUCUGGAGGAACAUCAGUGGCGAAGGCGACUGUCUGGACCCAACCUGACGCUGAGGUGCCAAAGCUUGGUAGCAACCGGGAUAAAUACCUGGUAGCCCCGCCGCAAACAUGCCACUAGCCGCGGGUCAU
rnacentral:rRNA from 1 species